CAGGCAGGCGGACUCGUAAGUCCAGGGUGAAAUCCAUCGGCUCAACCGGUCGGACGGCCCCGGAUACUGCGAGCCUUGAGUCGAGCAGGGGAGAGGGGAAUUCCUGGUGUAGCGGUGAAAUGCGUAGAUAUCAGGAGGAACACCGGUGGCGAAGGCGCCUCUCUGGGCUCGCACUGACGCUCAUACUGCGAAAGCUGGGGGAGCAAACAGGAUUAGAUACCCUGGUAGUCCCAGCCCUAAACGAUGGAUGCUAGGUGUUGGAGGUAUUGACCCCUCCAGUGCCGCAGCUAACGCAUUAAGCAUCCCACCUGGGGAGUACGGUCGCAAGGCUGAA
rnacentral:rRNA from 1 species